rnacentral:rRNA from 1 species
GACGAACGCUGGCGGCGUGCCUAAUACAUGCAAGUUGAGCGCUGAAGGUUGGUACUUGUACCAACUGGAUGAGCAGCGAACGGGUGAGUAACGCGUGGGGAAUCUGCCUUUGAGCGGGGGACAACAUUUGGAAACGAAUGCUAAUACCGCAUAAAAACUUUAAACACAAGUUUUAAGUUUGAAAGAUGCAAUUGCAUCACUCAAAGAUGAUCCCGCGUUGUAUUAGCUAGUUGGUGAGGUAAAGGCUCACCAAGGCGAUGAUACAUAGCCGACCUGAGAGGGUGAUCGGCCACAUUGGGACUGAGACACGGCCCAAACUCCUACGGGAGGCAGCAGUAGGGAAUCUUCGGCAAUGGACGAAAGUCUGACCGAGCAACGCCGCGGGAGUGAAGAAGGUUUUCGGAUCGUAAAACUCUGUUGGUAGAGAAGAACGUUUGUGAGAGUGGAAAGCUCAUCAAGUGACGGUAACUACCCAGAAAGGGACGGCUAACUACGUG